GAUGAACGCUGGCGGCGUGCCUAAUACAUGCAAGUCGAACGGAGAUCAGCAAUGGUCUUAGUGGCGAACGGGUGAGUAACGCGUUGGUGACCUGCCCCAAAGAGAGGGAUAACAGACCGAAAGGUUUGCUAAUACCGCAUGUGCUGACGGAAGACUAGAAGUCUGUCAGGAAAGCAGAAAUGCGCUUUGGGAGGGGCCUGCGUCCCAUCAGCUAGUUGGUAAGGUAACGGCUUACCAAGGCGAUGACGGGUAGGGGACCUGAGAGGGUGGCCCCCCACAAUGGAACUGAAACACGGUCCAUACACCUACGGGUGGCAGCAGUAGGGAAUAUUGGUGAAUGGGCGAAAGCCUGAACCAGCAACGCCGCGUGUGCGAAGAAGGCCUUCGGGUCGUAAAGCACUUUUUGCCGGGAAGAGGAAGGACGGUACCGGCAGAAUAAGCCUCGGCUAACUACGUGCCAGCAGCCGCGGU
rnacentral:rRNA from 1 species